UCUCUCUCUCUCUCUCUCUCUCUCUCUCUCUCUCUCUCUCUCUCUAUACACAUGUAAACAGACAGUAUAUGUUAGGGAAAACUGAAAAAGUAAAACCACUAACCAAGAAAAAAAAUAUCACAGAAACUUACAGUCCCGGAACAGAAAGUGAAAGAGAAGAACAUGAUGACAGGGCUGAAAAUCAGAACGAAACUGAAAGAUUGUUGUGUUCGAACAUAGAGAGGAGAGCUGUUCGGAACUAAAGAUGGAGCAGAAAACUGAUGAUGGUUGGCUUCACACAGAUGACCUGCAGCACACUGAUGUGAACAUGACAGAAGAACAUGGAGAUGAACAUCUUAUGAUUACUGG